rnacentral:rRNA from 1 species
GACGAACGCUGGCGGCGUGCUUAACACAUGCAAGUCGAGCGGAGCGGCGAACGGGUGAGUAACGCGUGAGUAACUGCCCCCCUCUCUGGGUUAACAGUUGGAAACGGCUGCUAAUACCGGAUAGUGGGGGAUGACACGAGUCCUAUCAGCUGUUGGAUGGGGUAGUGGCCUACCAAGGCGACGACGGGUAGCCGGCCUGAGAGGGCGACCGGCCACAUUGGGCCUGAAUACGGCCCAAACUCCGACGGGAGGCAGCAGGGAGUGAUAUUGCACAAUGGGGGAAGCCCGGAUGCAGCAACGCCGCGUGCGGGAUGACGGCCGUAGGGUUGUAACCCGCUUUCAGCCAUGACGCGAGAGUGGCAGAAGAAGCACCGGCUAACUACGUGCCAGCAGCCGCGGUAAUUC